rnacentral:rRNA from 1 species
ACGCUAUCACUCCUACGGGGAGCAUGGCAGAUUGGGGAAUAUUGCACAAUGGGGGGAAACCCUGAUGCAGCCAUGCCGCGUGUGUGAAGAAGGCCUUCGGGUUGUAAAGCACUUUCAGUAGGGAGGAAGGUAGUGUAGUUAACACCUGCAUUAUUUGACGUUACCUACAGAAGAAGCACCGGCUAACUCCGUGCCAGCAGCCGCGGUAAUACGGAGGGUGCGAGCGUUAAUCGGAAUUACUGGGCGUAAAGCGCAUGCAGGUGGUUUGUUAAGUCAGAUGUGAAAGCCCGGGGCUCAACCUCGGAAUUGCAUUUGAAACUGGCAGACUAGAGUACUGUAGAGGGGGGUAGAAUUUCAGGUGUAGCGGUGAAAUGCGUAGAGAUCUGAAGGAAUACCGGUGGCGAAGGCGGCCCCUGGACAGAUACUGACACUCAGAUGCGAAAGCGUGGGGAGCAAACAGGAUUAGAUACCCUGGUAG